rnacentral:misc_RNA from 1 species
AUAACCCACUAUAAGAAAACUUGAUAUUUAGUUUUUGGUAAGAGAUUGAAACAAGAAAAAAAACAAGAAAUUGGAAGAGAAUUGAAGAUUGAAGUUGGUCACUACACAAUGGAUUCAGAGGUCUCUUCUUGGCUACGUGCUUGCAAGACGUCGACUGAAGAAAGGCUUGGGAGAGCAAGAACAAGUUGAUGAAGAAGGUUCCAACGGAGCAUACAUCGAUUUGGGUUAGGAAACCUCACCUUUCUUUUCAAUUUAGGAAUUCUACAAUUUAGGGAUUAUUAUUUUAGGGGGUAUUAGGCCUGACUAGAUCUUCUUAGGCUAAUUAGGCAUGCUGACAUGAAGUUGUUGUUAAGUUUAAUGGCUAGUUUUGAUGACAGGGUAGAAUUAAAUUGAAUGCUAUAGGUUGGAGUGAAAUUGUUAAAAAAAA